GUCUAUGGCCAUACCACCCUAAACACACCCAAUCUCAUCUGAUCUCGGAAGCUAAACAGGGUUGGGCCUGGUUAGUACUUGGAUGGCUUAGAGGUGGUGCUGCUCACA
rnacentral:rRNA from 1 species